AACCUCUGCUGGUUCAUCCUGUGGAUUUGGCUCCAAAGCAAGGCACUUCCUGGGUCCUACUCUUUUCCCAGUGGUGCACUGGAGCUCCCAGCCAAUCGUAUUGAUCUUCAGCCUGUAAUUGGGCUCGAUGACGACACAGAUCAUAUGUGUGCGUUUGCAUGCUGCACUUUUUUCUCUGUGUGUUUCCUGGAUGCACACAAAGAAUAUGUUUGGUCAGAAGCUGAAAUGUGAAUCAAAUAAUGAUACAAUAAACAAAAAUAAUUUGUAUUAGCAUUUUGAAAUCAGGAUUCCUUACUAAUAUAAGUGGAUUUGCACAAUUUUGUUGCAUGAAUAUGAAUAUUGUAUUUAAUAGAAUAAUAAUUUUACCCAUUGAUGCUAAGCGAAACAGAAAAGGUUUAAACCUAAUAGAUGAGCGUCUUUUUUUCAACCCAGAUUAUCUAUCUAACAAUGCCGAUGUGAGUGUGAAAUUGCACUGCCACAUUCCAAUGUGGUUGAACACAAGAACGCAUGGGAAACUUGUACUGUAAAUGCUGAUUAUUUCUGCAGCUUCACUCCUGCUGUAAGGAUAAUGACACAAAAUGUUGCCAGUAACCUUGGCUGGGGCUGCAGGCUGAACUGUGAUUCCUCACUCAGGUCUUUGCAGAGCGGCCAUUCACCUUUCAGAUGCCAGCAGUUAAAGAUCUACUUGGUUAAAGCAAAAAGUCUGACAACACACAAAAAUGGCAUAGGUGAGACCCUUCAUCAGGUACUUCCAGGAGAGCAGAGAAGUGACCCCACAGCUAUGGAGCCUUGAUGGGGUGAUGUGCUCCUUCAUCUGAGCCAAUAACAUGGUACGGAAGGCUGAAAAUAAAGCACAAGAACAAAUUUCAACCCUUUACUCAAAGCCACUGCCUGAAGCUUCUGAAAGGAAUAUACUCCUACAUGAUUCCAUAAAUGGCAACAGAACCAGCUAAA